ensembl:snoRNA Gm23297 predicted gene, 23297
CAGCACUGUUCGUAACCUGUCAGCCUUGCUGUGGCUGGUGGGUUCCAUUCCAGUGCUACAGGAUUUCCAGUGACACAUGACUGACUGACUGGCUGGCUAGUGGCUUUCAGUUUCAGGUCUUGGAGACACAC